rnacentral:rRNA from 1 species
CCUACGGGAGGCAGCAGUGAGGAAUAUUGGUCAAUGGCCGGAAGGCUGAACCAGCCAAGCCGCGUGAAGGAUGACGGCUCUACGGGUUGUAAACUUCUUUUAUAAAGGAGUAAAGUGAGACACGCGUGCCUUUUUGUAUGUACUUUAUGAAUAAGGAUCGGCUAACUCCGUGCCAGCAGCCGCGGUAAUACGGAGGAUUCAAGCGUUAUCCGGAUUUAUUGGGUUUAAAGGGAGCGUAGACGGGUUGUUAAGUUAGUUGUGAAAGUUUGGGGCUCAACCUCCGAAUUGCAUUUGAUACUGGCUGCCUUGAGUGCAGUUGAGGUAGGCGGAAUUCGUGGUGUAGCGGUGAAAUGCUUAGAUAUCACGAAGAACACCGAUUGCGAAGGCAGCUUACUAAACUGCCACUGACGUUGAUGCUCGAAAGUGUGGGUAGCAAACAGGAUUAGAUACCCCAGUAGUC